rnacentral:rRNA from 1 species
GUCUUGACNUCCUUUGACCNCUCUAGAGAUAGAGCUUUCCCUUCGGGGACAAAGUGACAGGUGGUGCAUGGUUGUCGUCAGCUCGUGUCGUGAGAUGUUGGGUUAAGUCCCGCAACGAGCGCAACCCUUAUUACUAGUUGCCAGCAUUUAGUUGGGCACUCUAGUGAGACUGCCGGUGACAAACCGGAGGAAGGUGGGGAUGACGUCAAAUCAUCAUGCCCCUUAUGACCUGGGCUACACACGUGCUACAAUGGAUGGUACAACGAGUCGCAAGGUCGCGAGGCCAAGCUAAUCUCUUAAAGCCAUUCUCAGUUCGGAUUGUAGGCUGCAACUCGCCUACAUGAAGCCGGAAUCGCUAGUAAUCGCGGAUCAGAACGCCGCGGUGAAUACGUUCCCGGGA